CCAGAACAUUCCAAUAUUAUCUGAUUUCAGAAGCUAAGCAAGUAAGGUUUGGGUAAUACUUGGAUGGGAAACUGGCAGGGAGUACCAGGGAUCUCCAGGU
rnacentral:rRNA from 1 species